GGAGGGAUGGCCGAGCGGCCGAAGGCGGCGGUCUUGAAAACCGCAGUCCGGCAACGGACCGGGGGUUCGAAUCCCCCUCCCUCCG
rnacentral:tRNA from 1 species